UUCGGGCAGUCGCUGAUAUUUAUAUAUUAGAGGAAAGUCCAUGCUCGCACUGUCUGCGAUGACAGUAGUGUUUGUGCUUGCUGAAUAAAUAAGGCAAGGCAGUGAAAACUGACGGCGGAGCAAAAGCCUAAGGAGAAAUCUAUGGCCUAUGCCCUUAAGGUGUCACAGUGACGAAGCUAGCUAGAAAUAGUCUAGGUGGAACGAGAUAAACCCCGCAAGCGAGAAAUCCAAAAUUUGGUAGGAGAAUCUUUACAAACGAAUUGAAGGGAGUAAAGGCUGCAACAGCAGAGAUAAAUGGCUGCCACUUCGUAAGAAGGACAGAACAUGGCUUACAG
rnacentral:RNase_P_RNA from 1 species